rnacentral:rRNA from 1 species
AGAUUAAGUUAUUAAGGGCGCACGGUGGAUGCCUUGGCACUAGAAGCCGAUGAAGGACGUUACUAACGACGAUAUGCUUUGGGGAGCUGUAAGUAAGCUUUGAUCCAGAGAUUUCCGAAUGGGGAAACCCAGCAUGAGUUAUGUCAUGUUAUCGAUAUGUGAAUACAUAGCAUAUCAGAAGGCACACCCGGAGAACUGAAACAUCUUAGUACCCGGAGGAAGAGAAAGAAAA